GAGGAGGCUGCUGGCUGCGUUAUAUGCUGCUGAGCUGACUGUGACUCUGGCUGUCUGAGUCGGGGAGGACUGAGGAAAAUAAAGAAACAACAUUUUGAAAAACUGGCAGCGGCUUCUCCAAGGUUGCAGGCAGGAAUCGGAAAAACAGACUUGGGAAGAACUAACCUCGGGAAGAACUAACCUCGGGUUUGAGCGAUAGAACCUCUUUUCGAGGUCCCAGAAAGAAACCUUCAAGGAAACGGGACAGAACAGGUGCCCUCAUACUAGGGAAUUGGAACAUUCCCCUUCUUGUAAUCAGGCUGUUGUCCCUGCCCCCCUCCACCUGUCUGGAGACUGAAAGGAGAAGAAGAUUGAAGUAGGCUAAACUAAAGAGAACGGACCAGAGACCAUACAGAAGUGGACAACAGGAUGC